rnacentral:lncRNA from 1 species
UUGGUUCAAUUAUUUUUCUUUCUUUAAUUGUGCAUCCGUGAAUUUUUUUCUAAAUAGUAUCCUUCCAUUCUCUUAUAAAUUGGAUGUUUAGUUAGAAUUAAAAAUCACACCAGAAUCAGAGAAUUCUUCUUCUAUAAUAUUGAGCGUAUUUCUUUAGAGUUUUAGAAAGCUUUGAGCGUAGAAAAUAGUGAAAGUUUUCUUCAAGAAUAUCUUCGCUAUACCAGUUGGAAUACUCUUCUUUUUAAGGUAAGAAUUGUUAUUUAUUUUAUAUUUUGAAAAAAAAUUAUUUUUCAUAUUCGUAUGAAUAUUAUUUGUUUAAUAUCCCUCAGAAAUAUUAUUUCAUUCGCGAUUUUUUUUUCCGUGGAGCAUUGAUGUUUCGAUUUAUAUUAUAUAUAUAAGGUAUGAUUACUUUGUUUAAGGAAUGAUAGUGGCUGAAUCCUGUUGCUUCAUGAAAGGUUAAUAUGAAGAUUAUAUAUAAAGGAUAAUAUAUGAUUUUCAUGGCAGUAAAUAUAUGAUUUGCAUGCCCACCAUGAUUAUAUAUAUAUAUAUAUAUAUAUAUAUAUAUAUAUAUAUAUAUAUAUAUAUCAUAUUAUAUUAAUUUGCAUCAUGUAAUUUAAUUUGCAUGUCCGUGAUCCGUGAUAUGUUGCUUCAUGAAAUGGUUUUGAUUUUCAACAAUUGUAAAGAUUAUUAUGUUUUUUUUUCAUAUUUUGAAAAAAAAUUAUUUUUUUAUAUUCGUAUGAAUAUUAUUAUCAUUCAAUAUUCAUUGUUUUCAUUUAAUAUUCGUAAGGAAUAUUAUAUUUGUUUAAUAUUCGUAAGAAAUAUUAUUUUCAUUUAAUAUUCGUAGGAAUAUUAUUUUCAUUCAAUAUUCGUAAGAAAUAUUAUUUUCGUUCAACGGUGGUAAGUGAUAUCAUUAUUAUGAAAAUGGAUAUUAUUUCAUUUUUAUAUAUAAUUUUUUUUAAAUCAGAAUCAAAAGGUGUUUAAUCUGAAGGAGAUGUUUUAAGACAAGCCCAACACUUUUGUGUACAAAUUGUAGACUUAAUUACCAUGAAUGAUAAUUAAAUGAUUAACAUUACUUUUUGAAGCUGACCACGGAUUUCAAGAUAUUUUUUUUAUGCAGUAUUCAGCAUCUUUUGUUAUGAUUGCUUUAGGAGAACUAUUAAUUGUUGGAGAAUUUGAUUGCUAUCCUUUGUUUAAGUAUAUUUUAUUGACAAGCAAUAGUAGGCGUACAAAGUAAUAAAUAUAUAUAUAUAUAUAUAUAUAUAUAUAUAUAUAUAUAAUAUAAAAUAAAACCUUAUCUUUUUGUCAAGUAGUAUAGCUACUGAAAUUAUUGUUUUCCCUAGUAUAUUACAAAAUUUCCAUAUAAACUAACAUGAAAGUUGAUGGUUAUUUUCCUUAUCUUUUACUACACUUGAUAAAGGAUGUUACGUGAGUUUUUAUUUAGGAAUAAGGAUUUUCUAUUUCGGCAAAUAUAGUUUUUAUCUGUUAUCACAUGAUCAAUCUGACAAUAAAUGUCGAGGGAAAAUGAAAUAGUUAAUCACGCAAUUACAAUCAAUUAAUGUUACAAAUAAUGUGGUAAAGGUUCUCUUUGGUUGGUAGUGCAAAGAUGGGUAUGUGUAUGACAUGAUCAUGACCACUGGUGAUACUAAUGAAUAUCUUUGGCCUGUAGUGCAGGGAUGAUUCGAUGAUAUGGAUUAAUUAUUGAACUGAG